rnacentral:rRNA from 1 species
UACGGAGGAUCCAAGCGUUAUCCGGAAUCAUUGGGUUUAAAGGGUCCGUAGGCGGUUUAAUAAGUCAGUGGUGAAAGCCCAUCGCUCAACGGUGGAACGGCCAUUGAUACUGUUAAACUUGAAUUAUUAGGAAGUAACUAGAAUAUGUAGUGUAGCGGUGAAAUGCUUAGAUAGGACAUAGAACACCAAUUGCGCAGGCAGCUUACUACACAGUAAUUGACACUGAGGCACGAAAGCGUGGGGAUCAAACAGG